rnacentral:tRNA from 1 species
GCGCCCGUAGCUCAGAGGUAGAGCAUUGGCCUUCGGAGCCAAAGGUCGGAGCGUUCAAAUCCUCCCGGGCGCGC